UACGUAGGGGGCAAGCGUUGUCCGGAUUUAUUGGGCGUAAAGAGCGUGUAGGCUGCCAGGUCGGUCUGCUGUGAAAACUCGAGGCUUAACCUCGAGCUGUCGGCGGAAACCAUCUGGCUAGAGUCCGGAAGAGGAGAAUGGAAUUCCCGGUGUAGCGGUGAAAUGCGCAGAUAUCGGGAAGAACACCCGUGGCGAAGGCGGUUCUCUGGGACGGUACUGACGCUGAGACGCGAAAGCGUGGGGAGCGAACAGG
rnacentral:rRNA from 1 species